rnacentral:lncRNA from 1 species
UCUUAUAUUAUUUCAUAACACGUUAUCAGCACGAGUCUCUAACCAAUAUUUUGGAACUUGUCAUCCACAAUUGCAGUUGGUUUGAUAACGGACAGCUUAUGCUAGAUAUAGUCUAUAUGGGAAUCACGUACAAUGACUUUGCUGCCAAUGCUAUUAUGUUGCGAAUAUUUCAUGCCACACAAUAUUACAAAUCCUUAAAGGUAAGUAAUUUACUCUAUUUAU